rnacentral:rRNA from 1 species
UACGGAGGGUGCGAGCGUUGUCCGGAAUUAUUGGGCGUAAAGAGCUCGUAGGCGGUCUGUCGCGUCGGUCGUGAAAACUUGGGGCUUAACCCUGAGCUUGCGGUCGAUACGGGCAUGACUGGAGUUCGGUAGGGGAGACUGGAAUUCCUGGUGUAGCGGUGAAAUGCGCAGAUAUCAGGAGGAACACCGGUGGCGAAGGCGGGUCUCUGGGCCGAUACUGACGCUGAGACGCGAAAGCGUGGGGAGCGAACAGG